rnacentral:rRNA from 1 species
CCUACGGGUGGCAGCAGUGAGGAAUAUUGGUCAAUGGACGAGAGUCUGAACCAGCCAAGUCGCGUGAAGGAUGACUGCCCUAUGGGUUGUAAACUUCUUUUAUAUGGGAAUAAAAUGUUCCACGUGUGGGAUUUUGUAUGUACCAUAUGAAUAAGGAUCGGCUAACUCCGUGCCAGCAGCCGCGGUAAUACGGAGGAUCCGAGCGUUAUCCGGAUUUAUUGGGUUUAAAGGGAGCGUAGGUGGAUUGUUAAGUCAGUUGUGAAAGUUUGCGGCUCAACCGUAAAAUUGCAGUUGAAACUGGCAGUCUUGAGUACAGGAGAGGUGUGCGGAAUUCGUGGUGUAGCGGUGAAAUGCUUAGAUAUCACGAAGAACUCCGAUUGCGAAGGCAGUUCACUGGACUGCAACUGACACUGAGGCUCGAAAGUGUGGGUAUCAAACAGGAUUAGAUACCCCAGUAGUC